CCGACAGAUGUCAAUUCACGUCAACUCCGUGUACUUAUUUGUUUUGUUUUGUGUUCAUUUCUGUUUGUCGAUGGAUUUAUAAUUCCCGCAAGUGCAACCAGUGUGACUCAUUGCAUUUCUGCAUUGGCCAGGCAGAAAUCUAUUUAGGCAUUCUUCGGAUGACGCACAGACGAUGAUAAAAGAACAGUUAUCUAUACAACCUCGAAGCUGAUAGCAUACCGACUGAUAACUAACUGCCUAGUCGUUAGCUAAUUGACUGGUGUAUGAUGUUGGAAGCCAUCGGUCUGUUGGUGCUGACUGGCGUGCUAUGGGGAUGCACCAACCCUUUCAUUCGGCAGGGGACGAAGGGCCUCCGUGACGUCACGGCCACAACCCUGAUAGGACAGGUCUGGGCUGAAGUUAGCUUCCUGCUCGGCAAUUGGAAGUACGUGGUACCGUGGCUGGUGAACCAGGCAGGGUCACUCAGCUACCUGGCGGCAGUGCAGCGCGCGCCGCUGUCAGUAGCAGUGCCCACUGCCAACAGUCUCGCGUUCGUCUUCACCGCGGUGACUGGCGCGGGCAUCGGCGCGGAGGAACCGCUCGAUAGAAAGUCAAUCCUUGGAAUAGUCCUGAUUAUGGCGGGAACUGCACUCUGCUGUAUCGACGACACCAGUUGAAGAAGUGUCAGCAGAUGUUAGUGGCCUCGAUGGCUCUCUGCAGCCGCUGCAGCGACAGGCGCAGGUGGUUCUCCUCGCCGGCGAGGUGCUGGCGCUCGGCGAGCAGCGCGCGCGCGGUGUCGGAGUCGCGCGACGCCGAGCGCGUGAUGUGAGCGCCCUCUAUCUUUAGCGCCGUGUUGCGCUUGUCCUCGGCGAAACAUUAAAAUGUACGUCGAGACUACGCUAGCGUCACCGGUAGCAAAAUUGAUGCUACGAAGAAGCCCGUGCCCGUAAAGGGACAGAAUCGGGCUGACGAUGAGGGGUGCGUUACGGUGCAAAGGAGGAAGCGCCGUCAGCGAGCCAACAAGAAGCUAAGGCGGAGGACAUCGCGAGUACGUGCGUCAGAAGCCAUAACGCCAACUUCAAGGCGUUCGUGGUGCGAGUGCCGACGUGUUUCCUGCACCUCGUGUUGGACGAAAACUUCUGGCCACAGGGCGUGGUGUUCCGUCGCUUCCGCGGACAAGUGCCACAGGACCGCACAGUGACAUAGUGCAUAAGUGAAGCGCUACUAACAUAGUUUUAAGUUUUUAUUUACUAACAAUUUUGUAUAACAUAUGUAUGCUAGUUUUAAGGUAUUUAUCUAUGGGCCUUAGAUGCCUGAGAAUAAAGAUGAUUUGAUUUGA